rnacentral:rRNA from 1 species
CCUGUUCCCAUCCCGAACACAGAAGUUAAGCCCUUCAGCGCUGAUGGUACUUGGCGGGAAGCUGCCUGGGAGAGUAGGACGUUGCGGUU